ACUCAACUGACGAGUCCCAAAUAGGACGAAAAGCGAGUCCCGUAU
rnacentral:hammerhead_ribozyme from 1 species